rnacentral:rRNA from 1 species
AGAGUUUGAUCCUGGCUCAGGAUUAACGCUGGCGGCAUGCCUAAUACAUGCAAAUUGAACGAAGUAUUUAAUACUUAGUGGUGAACGGGUGAGUAACACGUAUCCAAUCUACCUUGAAGUGGGGGAUAACAAGUCGAAAGACUUGCUAAUACCGCAUAAUAAUAUCUCUUGACAUCGAGAGAUAUUUAAAGAUCCGUAUGGAUCGCUUUUAGAUGAGGGUGCGGCGUAUCAGAUAGUUGGUAAGGUAACGGCUUACCAAGUCAAUGACGCGUAGCUGUGCUGAGAGGCAGAACAGCCACAAUGGGACUGAGACACGGCCCAUACUCCUACGGGAGGCAGCAGUAGGGAAUUUUUCACAAUGGGCGAAAGCCUGAUGAAGCAAUGCCGCGUGGACGAUGAAGGUCAUAUUGAUCGUAAAGUCCUUUUAUGAGGGAAGAACAACUAAAAUAGGAAAUGAUUUUAGUCUGACUGUACCUCUUGAAUAAGUAACGGCUAACUAUGUGCCAGCAGCCGCGGUAAUACAUAGGUUGCAAGCGUUAUCCGGAUUUACUGGGCGUAAAACGAGCGCGGACGGAUUUAUAAGUCUGGUGUGAAAUACAGUUGCUCAACAACUGUUUGCAUUAGAAACUGUAAGUCUAGAGUGUAGUAGGGAGUUCUGGAACUCCAUGUGGAGCGGUGGAAUGCGUAGAUAUAUGGAAGAACACCAGUGGCGAAGGCGAGAACUUGGACUAUCACUGACGUUUAGGCUCGAAAGUGUGGGGAGCAAAUAGGAUUAGAUACCCUAGUAGUCCACACCGUAAACGAUGGUUAUUAAGUGUCGGCAUGGAUGUGUCGGUGCUGCAGCUAACGCAUUAAAUAACCUGCCUGGGUAGUACAUUCGCAAGAAUGAAACUCAAACGGAAUUGACGGGGACCCGCACAAGUGGUGGAGCAUGUUGCUUAAUUUGACAAUACACGUAGAACCUUACCUAGGUUUGACAUCUUCUGCGAAGCUAUAGAAAUAUAGUGGAGGUUAACAGAAUGACAGGUGGUGCAUGGUUGUCGUCAGCUCGUGUCGUGAGAUGUUGGGUUAAGUCCCGCAACGAGCGCAACCCCUAUCGUUAGUUAUUUGAUCUAACGAGACUGCUACUGCAAAGUAGAGGAAGGUGGGGAUGACGUCAAAUCCUCAUGCCCUUUAUAUCUAGGGCUGCAAACGUGCUACAAUGGUCGGUACAAACCGUCGCGAACCCGUAAGGGGGAGCCAAUCGGACAAAGCCGAUCUCAGUUCGGACAGAGGGCUGCAAUUCGCCCUCUCGAAGUUGGAAUCACUAGUAAUCUCGAAUCAGACAUGUCGAGGUGAAUACGUUCCCGGGUCUUGUACACACCGCCCGUCAAACUAUGGGAGUUGGUAAUAUCUGAAACCGUAUCGUUAACCGUAAGGAGGCAUACGUCUAGGGUAGGAUCGGUAACUAGAGUUAAGUCGUAACAAGGUAACC